UGUGUAUUUAAUCUCUUCAUUUCCUCAGUUUCCAAUUCUUUCUGACCACAAAGAGAGCUGCUAUAAAUAUUUUUUGUGUGUAUUGUGAAUUUUAAAAUCUCCAUCUUGCUUGGUCUAGCACCCAGGAUUGUGCACACCCACACCAGACAAGCAUGUGCUAGUCAAUGCCAAAUCAGAAAUAACUAACUGCCCACCUGGGCUGUCCUAAGCCAAACUUAAGCCAGCAUUGGCACUUGUGAGGCACAGGAAGUGAGGUAGGGAACAGCCUCUGGAAUUCGCUCACUUCCUGUGGAGAGAGCUAGAUGGGAGUUCGUGCUAGGAGCUCAGGUAGAGAGGAGGCCCACAGACAGCUUUCCUUCAGAUCAGUCAAUGAGGCUUUCUCAGAUGAAGAAAGGAAAGAGAUCUUCAUUAAACGUGGUGGCUGCUGAACGAGGCUAUCGGGAAUGCCAAACAGAUCAAUUAUAGCGUCUGGCUAAAGAGGCUUAAGGAUGAAUGGGCAGAUUGCUGGGUUCCCACAAUUUGUGCUUGUCAUCAAGAUGAAGGGGAAGAAAAUGUGGUUCAAAGAGGACAACUGGCUUGCCAAAAGUCACCUGGGUAAUAAGUAUGAAAAAGGAGGAAAAGACCUAAUGAUCUCAUGACAUCUUUCUGCUGGAUUUGUCAUUGGGAUUACUGUGGCCUCUCUCAUCAUUCUUAUGAUUACAUGCAAGGUCAGAUCCUAUCACACAAAAGGACAACUCUGGAGUGCAGACAGUGGCAAUUGUUUUGCCUGCUAAAGGUAUUAGGGUUAAAAUGAUAUCAAAGACAAUUAAACAUGGAAAAUAAACAUUGAACUAUGUGCCA
rnacentral:lncRNA from 1 species